rnacentral:rRNA from 1 species
GUGUCAGCCGCCGUGGUAAUACGUAGGGUGCAAGCGUUAAUCGGAAUUACUGGGCGUAAAGCGUGCGCAGGCGGUUAUAUAAGACAGAUGUGAAAUCCCCGGGCUCAACCUGGGAACUGCAUUUGUGACUGUAUAGCUAGAGUACGGUAGAGGGGGAUGGAAUUCCGCGUGUAGCAGUGAAAUGCGUAGAUAUGCGGAGGAACACCGAUGGCGAAGGCAGCCCCCUGGGAUAAUAUUGACGCUCAUGCACGAAAGCGUGGGGAGCAAACAGGAUUAGAAACCCUAGUAGUCC